UACGUAGGGUGCAAGCGUUGUCCGGAAUUAUUGGGCGUAAAGAGCUCGUAGGCGGUCUGUCGCGUCUGCUGUGAAAACUCGGGGCUUAACCCCGGGCCUGCAGUGGGUACGGGCAGACUAGAGUGCGGUAGUGGAGACUGUAAUUCCUGGUGUAGCGGUGAAAUGCGCAGAUAUCAGGAGGAACACCGGUGGCGAAGGCGGGUCUCUGGGCCGUAACUGACGCUGAGGAGCGAAAGCGUGGGGAGCGAACAGG
rnacentral:rRNA from 1 species